AACAUGUCUGUGUGAAUUAGUUAUAAAGUCUANCCUGCCCACUGAUUAUUUAAAGGGCCGCGGUAAUUUGACCGUGCGAAGGUAGCAUAGUCAGUAGUCUUUUAAUUGAAGGCUUGAAUGAAAGGUUGGACGAGGGGUAAGCUGUCUCUUUUACAAUAUUUGAAUUUAACUUUUAAGUGAAAAGGCUUAAAUUAUUUAGUGGGACGAUAAGACCCUAUAAAACUUAAUAUAGGUUUGACUUAAUUUUAUAAAAUGGGUGAUAAAGUGAUUUUGUUUAGUUUGUAUUUUGUUGGGGCGAUAUAGAUAUAAUAUGUAACUGUCUAUUAAAUUUAAUAAUUAUAAUUAGUUUUUGAUCCUUCUUUGUGGAUUGGAAGAAUAAGUUACUUUAGGGAUAACAGCGUGAUUUUCUUUGAGAGUUCUUAUCGACAAGAGUAGUUGCGACCUCGAUGUUGAAUUAAAAUUUCAGUUAGGUGUAGCCGUUUAGCUGGUGGGUCUGUUCGACCUUUAAAAUUUUACAU
rnacentral:rRNA from 1 species